GCAGCGGCGGAGGCGGCGGCGGCGUAGGAAGAUGCUGCUCUCAAGCCCAUGCCCGUCCAUGCAGUCCAAGAUUUAAUUAGGCCCCUAUGAAAGAAGAAUCUCAUUCUUUGGACCAUAUUUUAAGACAUGAAGAAAAGAUGAGACCAGAAUAGUACAAUUAGAGGACAUUGCAAAACAUCCCAUGGUAUGAACAUGCCAAAUGGAUAGAAUUAAAACACAUGCCAGCAACAUUAAUGGAUCGUAAACAAGAUGUGGUUUCCUUUCCUGAACCUUUAUGUGAUAUCUUAAUUGAAUUCCUGUUAAUAUACAGAAUCUCCAUUUCCAGAACUCUAACACGUCGGUCUCUUAACAGAUCACCGGGGUCAGAGGAGCCAAGAAUCGCACCCGGGAUUGCGAUUUGUGCAACCCAUUCUAGAGUAAAGUCUCCCUCGCUGCUCCCCAGCCCACCGUACGCAAAGCAGGGGCUGAAGUAGCUUGAGUCCGACAGCCCAGCAGCAAGCAGCUAGUGGAUUGUACUUACAUCAUUCUUAACCCUUCCGCUCCUGGAGAGGACUUGGCAGUAUCGAGGGGUGUCUGAGUU